AGGAUGAACGCUGGCGGCGUGCCUAACACAUGCAAGUCGAACGUCCUGUCUCGCAAGAGGCAGGGAGUGGCGGACGGGUGAGUACCACGUGGGUCAUCUACCGUGAGGUGAGGAAUACCGGCGAGAAAUCGCCGACAAGACCGCAUAGGCUCGAUGCAAGUCGAGCAAAGCUCUUUCGAGAGAGGGAGCGCCACACGAGGAGCCUGCGCCCGAUUAGCUAGCUGGUGGAGUAACGGUUCACCAGGGCGACGAUCGGUAGCUGGUCUGAGAGGACGAUCAGCCACACUGGGAUUGAGAACGGCCCAGACUCCUACGGGGGCAGCAGUGAGGAAUUUUCGUCAAUGGGGGCAACCCUGAACGAGCAACGCCGCGUGCAGGAAGAAGGUUUCGGAUCGUAAACUGCUUUCUCGGGACGAGCAAGGACGGUACCCGAGGAAGAAGCCCCGGCUAACUACGCGCCAGCAGCCGCGGU
rnacentral:rRNA from 1 species